rnacentral:rRNA from 1 species
GACGAACGCUGGCGGCGUGCUUAACACAUGCAAGUCGAGCGAAGCGGCGGACGGGUGAGUAACACGUGAGUAACCUGCCUUAGACCUUGGGAUAGCCUCGGGAAACCGGGAUUAAUACCAAAUGGUCUAAGAUGGACUCGCGUCCCAUUAGCUAGUUGGUGAGGUAACGGCCCACCAAGUCGACGAUGGGUAGCCGGCCUGAGAGGGUGAACGGCCACAUUGGAACUGAGAAACGGUCCAAACUCUACGGGAGGCAGCAGUGGGAAUAUUGCACAAGGGAGGGAACGCUGAUGCAGCGACGCCGCGUGAACGAAUAAGGCUUUCGAGUCGUAAAGUUCUUUUAUAUGGGAAGCGGUACCAUAAGAAAAAGCCCCGGCUAACUACGUGCCAGCAGCCGCGGUAAUUC